AGGCCCUAGGGAGUUCCUGAGUAGCACGGGACACGUGAAACCCCGUGUGAAUCUGCGCAGACCACUGCGUAAGGCUAAAUACUAACUAGCGACCGAUAGUGAACCAGUACCGUGAGGGAAAGGUGAAAAGUACCCCUGUGAGGGGAGUGAAAUAGAACCUGAAACCAUGUGCCUACAAGGUGUAAGAGCAAGGACUUGUCCUUGUGAUUGCGUGCCUUUUGCUUAAUGAGUCUACGAGUUAGUGUCUGUGGCAAGCUUAAGUCCUUCUGGGACGCAGGCGUAGCGAAAGCGAGUCCGAAUAGGGCGAUCAUAGUUGCAGGCGCUAGACCCGAAGCGGAGGCGACCUACCCAUGGCCAGGUUGAAGCGUCAGUAAAAUGACGUGGAGGACCGAACCGAUGUGUGUUGAAAAACGCUCGGAUGAGCUGUGGGUCGGAGUGAAAGGCUAUUCAAGCCCCGUGAUAGCUGGUUCUCCUCGAAAUGCAUUUAGGUGCAGCGUUGCGUGUUGAUGAGUGGGGGUAGAGCACUGACAGGGCUAGGGGGCAUACCCGCCUACCAACCCCUAUCAAACUCCGAAUACCAUUCAAUAGAGCGCAGCAGUGAGACGGCGGGGGAUAAGCUUCGUCGUCGAGAGGGAAACAGCCCAGAUCAGCAGCUAAGGUGCCUAAAUUGUGCUCAGUGGAAAGGAGGUGAGGUUUCAUAGACAGUGAGGAUGUUGGCUUAGAAGCAGCCACCAUUUAAAAAAUGCGUAAUAGCUUACUCAUCGAGAGACCUUGCGCCGAAAAUACUUGGCGAUAAGCACAAUACCGAAGCUCUGGGUGUCCUAGUUUACUAGGGCGCGGUAGAGGAGCAUUCUCUGUGCAGUGAAGGGUGAUGGCGACUGACCCUGGAGCGCAGAGAAGUGAGAAUGCAGACAUGAGUAACGAUAAGAGCGGUGAAAUCCCGCUCCGCCGUAAAUCCAAGGUUUCCCGGGCAACGUUUUUCGUCCCGGGGUUAGUCGGGACCUAACCCGAGGCCGAUGGGCGUAGGGGAUGGUAAGCAGGUUAAUAUUCCUGCACCCAGUAAGGAGGACGCAUAAUGAAAAGCUACUAUGUUAUUGAAUAUUCGGAGGCGAGGCUUAGGCCGAACCGCAUAGCUGGACAGAGUGCCAAGAAAAGCCCUUACAUUAAUGGCCCGUACCGUAAACCGACACAGGUGGAUGGGUAGAAUAUACCAAGGCGCAAGAGUGAAACCUGGUCAAGGAACUCGGCAAAAUAGCCCCGUAACUUCGGGAGAAGGGGUGCCCCACUUCGGUGGGGCCGCAGUGAAAUGGGUCAACCGACUGUUUAGCAAAAACACAGCAUUGUGCUAAGACGCAAGUCGAUGUAUACGAUGUGACACGUGACCAAUGCCAAAAGAUUACGAUGAGAUGUUAGCUCUUUAGAGCGAAGCUUCGAGUCCAAGUCCUGGUGAAUGUCGGCCGUAACUAUAACGGUCCUAAGGUAGCGAAAUUCCUUGUCGGGUAAGUUCCGACCUGCACGAAUCGUGCAACGAGUUGACCACUGUCUCGACCAGGAGCUCAGUGAAAUUGUAGUGCCGGUGAAGAUGCCGGCUACCCGCAGAAGGACGGAAAGACCCUAUAGACCUUAACUGUAAGCUGUUACUGGUUAUUUGAUUUUAAUGCUCAGCAUAAGUGGGAGACUUUGAAGGAUACGUUUAGGCGUAUCUGGAGUCGCCAGUGAGAUACCACCCUUUGACAUUGGAUAAUCUAACCCCGAGCCGUAAUCCGGCCGUGGGGACCGUGGCAGCCGGUCAGUUUUACUGGGGCGGUAUCCUCCUAAAGAGUAACGGAGGAGCGCGAAGUUUGGCUCAGCGCAGUUGGCAACUGCGUGUCGAGUGUAAAGGCACAAGCCAGACUAACUGUGAGACCUACAAGUCGAGCAGAUACGAAAGUAGGCCUUAGUGAUCCGGCGGUAGAAUGUGGAAUUGCCGUCGCUCAACGGAUAAAAGGUACCUUAGGGAUAACAGGCUGAUCGCGCCCAAGAGUUCAUAUCGACGGCGCGGUUUGGCACCUCGAUGUCGGCUCGUCACAUCCUGGGGCUGGAGAAGGUCCCAA
rnacentral:rRNA from 1 species